rnacentral:rRNA from 1 species
UACGUAGGUGGCAAGCGUUGUCCGGAAUUAUUGGGCGUAAAGCGCGCGCAGGCGGUCCUUUAAGUCUGAUGUGAAAGCCCACGGCUCAACCGUGGAGGGUCAUUGGAAACUGGGGGACUUGAGUACAGAAGAGGAAAGUGGAAUUCCACGUGUAGCGGUGAAAUGCGUAGAGAUGUGGAGGAACACCAGUGGCGAAGGCGACUUUCUGGUCUGUAAUUGACACUGAGGCACGAAAGCGUGGGGAUCAAACAGG